UAUUUUAAAUGUCCGACAAUAGAACUCCAACGAUUUUAAAACUAUUUUCAUGUCCGAUAGUAGAAUAGAAGAACUUCAUUGAAUUUUGAAUAUCUCCAAGUGUCCGACAAUCCAUCCAUCCUUGAUUCCUUUCCGUACAGUCAAACGUGGAGGAAUCUUUUGGCUCCGUCAGUAGGUGGCUAAAAUCAAGUUGUCCCCCCAGCCGCCAGAUGACGCGAGUGUCGUUGAGGGGACGAAAUUUUCGCCAUUUUGUUCCGAAACGCCAAGUGAAAAGGUAUUACAAAUUCGUUACGGAAUUGAGAUGUCGAUCUACAUUUUCAGAAGUGAAAUUUAAUGGCAAUCUGGCAUAUAAUUUUCAUUUGGCCAAAUAAUCGAUCACGUGGACUGAAACUGCUUUCCAAUUUGCCGAAAUGUCGUCGGUUAUUAGCUUUACCUGUUCGGAUGCACGUCUUAUCUCACGCCGAAACACUACAGAGAUUUUAUUAGUUGGUGUUCAGGUUGGAGAUCCCGUUGCUUAACUGUUGCAGAAUGUGAGAACUCAACAAAGUCUGAGCUACAUGGUCGGCAUCAUUACAGUGAUUUCGUUGGAGCCAGCUGGUAAAAGGUGUAAUCGAGUCAAGUUGAGCUGCUGCUGCUGCAUGCAGUUUAUCGAGCUGGUGUUAUCCUGAAGUGUCAUUGCAGGAAGACUUUUUGAAAUGGACUUGAUGAUACUUAAACUAUGCCUGUGCAGUGGUUUUGCAGCCUGUUUCCAGUUGAGAGAUGUGAUUAUGCAGCUGAUACAGGAUUGAAGAAAAAGAACUGAAGUAGCUGUGCUGGUGUUCUCCUGAAAUUGCUGUGCCACAGGAGUUGCAGAUAGUGUUUGGUUCCUCAUAGAAGUUUGUUUAAAGAGUUUGGAGAUGAUCAUCCACUUCUGACUAUAACUUAUGUGAAACUUCAAAGUUGUAAGAAAUAUACAAGUCAAGUGCUAAA